rnacentral:rRNA from 1 species
AUUGAACGCUGGCGGCAGGCCUAACACAUGCAAGUCGAACGGUAACAGGAAGAAGCUUGCUUCUUUGCUGACGAGUGGCGGACGGGUGAGUAAUGUCUGGGAAACUGCCUGAUGGAGGGGGAUAACUACUGGAAACGGUAGCUAAUACCGCAUAACGUCGCAAGACCAAAGAGGGGGACCUUCGGGCCUCUUGCCAUCGGAUGUGCCCAGAUGGGAUUAGCUAGUAGGUGGGGUAACGGCUCACCUAGGCGACGAUCCCUAGCUGGUCUGAGAGGAUGACCAGCCACACUGGAACUGAGACACGGUCCAGACUCCUACGGGAGGCCGCAGUGGGGAAUAUUGCACAAUGGGCGCAAGCCUGAUGCAGCCAUGCCGCGUGUAUGAAGAAGGCCUUCGGGUUUUAAAGUACUUUCAGCGGGGAGGAAGGGAGUAAAGUUAAUACCUUUGCUCAUUGACGUUACCCGCAGAAGAAGCACCGGCUAACUCCGUG